AACGAACGCUGGCGGCAUGCCUAACACAUGCAAGUCGAACGAGACCUCCGGGUCUAGUGGCGCACGGGUGUGUAACGCGUGGGAACCUUCCCUUAGGGUCGGAAUAACUCUCCGAAAGGGGUGCUAAUACCGGAUAAUGUCUUCGGACCAAAGAUUUAUCGCCUUUGGAUGGGCCCGAGUUGGAUUAGCUAGUUGGUAGGGUAAAAGCCUACCAAGGCGACGAUCCAUAGCUGGUCUGAGAGGCUGAUCAGCCACACUUGGACUGAGACACGGCCCAGACUCCUACGGGAGGGAGGAAUGGGGAAUAUUGGAAAAUGGGCGGAGGCAUGAUCCAGCAAGGCCGCGUGAGUGAUGAAGGCCGUAGGGUUGUAAAGCUCUUUUACCCGGGAUGAUAAUGACAGUACCGGAAGAAUAAGCUCCGGCUAACUCCGUG
rnacentral:rRNA from 1 species